UACGUAGGGUGCAAGCGUUAAUCGGAAUUACUGGGCGUAAAGCGUGCGCAGGCGGUUCGCUAAGACAGAUGUGAAAUCCCCGGGCUUAACCUGGGAACUGCAUUUGUGACUGGCGGGCUAGAGUAUGGCAGAGGGGGGUAGAAUUCCACGUGUAGCAGUGAAAUGCGUAGAGAUGUGGAGGAAUACCGAUGGCGAAGGCAGCCCCCUGGGCCAAUACUGACGCUCAUGCACGAAAGCGUGGGAAGCAAACAGG
rnacentral:rRNA from 1 species